GGCUCCUGGUUUCUCUUCCUCUUUUACCUAAGUCUUUCGCCUUUUACUACAGACUUCCGUGGAAAGGAACAAACAUACAAGUUGAAUAUAUUUUAGCAGGCUUUUGCUGUAUGGCUG